rnacentral:rRNA from 1 species
UACGUAGGGGGCUAGCGUUGUCCGGAUUUAUUGGGCGUAAAGAGCGUGUAGGCGGCCAGAUAGGUCUGCUGUGAAAACUCGAGGCUCAACCUCGAGCUGUCGGCGGAAACCAUCUGGCUAGAGUCCGGAAGAGGAGAGUGGAAUUCCCGGUGUAGCGGUGAAAUGCGCAGAUAUCGGGAAGAACACCUGUGGCGAAGGCGGCUCUCUGGGACGGUACCGACGCUGAGACGCGAAAGCGUGGGGAGCAAACAGG